rnacentral:lncRNA from 7 species
AGUCUCACAUACCACCUAAGGCCGUGUCUGAAGACUGUGUGUGCAAGCCAUUUUAUGAUUCUACGAUUCUGAUUCUGUGAUGAUUGCAUGAAGAGUUCAGCAGGACCUCAGAGAAGUCUCUCAUGAAAGCCUUGAUGCUUUCUACCAGAAGUCAGAAUUUCCUCAAAAUGGAGGGAGAGUCAAUGGAUUGGUCAAGGCAACAGAAGGAAAAUAAGAAUGGAGAUGAGGGUGGCAGCGCUAAAUGAAAUAAGAAGCUAACAACUCAGUGUGUUUUGGAAGUGUGGAAGUAAGGACUAUAUCCUCCACUGAAGCAAAAAGCUAGAGUUGUAAUCAGCACUCCCUCCUUGCACCCAGAAAAUGUUACCCUCUAACUUAAGUUACUGAAUAUAUGUGUAGGGAAACAAGACAAGCCCUCUGCCUUCCCACAGGAAGUCCCCUGAAACCGUCAUGUAAUAUUUUUACCUGCUUCAGAUGCCUUUCGUUUUUCUUAUUUCCUCUGUGACAAGGGCCAGAGCCACUUCCCUACCAUCAGCACCACGAAUCUAACAGCCAGUUCUUAGGAGCGUCUCUGAACUUAAGAGCUCCAGUUAUGGAAGUGGGUUCAGUAUUUCUAGAGAACAGAUAAACAGUUUCAGCCAAAGAUGAUGGGGUCACAAAUGUCUCAGAGAUAACCAAUGUGUUUGAAGCUUCAUUUAAAAUGAUGUUUCAGUAGAGAAGAAAGAGAGAAACAUCAGCAUUUUCCUGUCAGAGAAAACACGGCAGCAUGAAUACAACUCCUCUACAGCACACCAGGGAAACCUCACCUGAGAAAAUCUGCAUCUAGAUCCUGCCAGAAGGUGAAUGUACUUUUGGUCUGGGAUUGCACGUCACUUCCUUCAUGCAGAAGGCAUCUGAAAUGAGCAUGUGAACCCAGGACUGAAUUUUUAAGGCACAUUUACAUACAUUACAACUUAGGCCACCCAUUCUAUAAUUAUCCCCUCCUCAGUAAUUUGGCAUUUCCCACCUCUGUACAUUGGUGGUAGGAAAUUUCCUUCUUCAUCAAAUCUACCGUUCAGGUGACUUUCUGAUGCUGUAGAUGUUCCUCCCUAAGGUCAGUAUCAUUCAGAUCUGACCUGGAAAUCAGACCAAGAACAAAAUCAUAUCUGCAUCUCCAUCCCAAUCUGGAACUAAGAUCUGGACCCAAGAUAAUGGCUAUGGCUGGUCUUUGUCAUGAGUUUAAAGCUUCAGAACAUCUAUGUUUCUGCCUUCCUUCAAGAGUUAGGAUGUGAUGCUGAAGCUUUCAGCUCAGUUAGUUUUUAACUAAGUUACAAAAAUGGCCAAUGAGUGUAAACUGAAACCUUCUUGACUUUCCUUUUGCUCAUUUCCUGGUAUUAUGGCUUUAGGCCUUUCUCCACUGAAGUGUGUGCCCAGCCAGCAAGUAUAUGAAGAGACAUGUUCGAGAGCAGAUGGGCCAAGGUCUGAUUUGUACCUGGUUGGGAUUUCUACAGCAGAGCUGGAUCUCACCUUCGUAGGUCUCUGUCUUACUGCAAGCAUUUCUACUGCCACAGGAGAUGUUUUUCUUCUGUAAAUUAGCUCCCUGCAGGAAACUCUUCAGUUGUUUUGUAGGUGGAUGGACACUCAAGAUGCCCUAUAGGAGGAAGUCAAGUUGCACUUCGCUUUCUCCUGCAGAUGAACAGUGAACACUUCUUAGAAGAGAAGGCAUAACAUGAUUCAUCUCAAUAACCCUCACAUAUGCACUGCUGAAUCUAGACUACGUGCCUCAACUCUCCCUAUGGGCAAUGGGGAGAAGAAGGUCAUUCUGGACAGUCCUGGAGUCCACCCAUUAGCCUGAGGAUGUUUCUUGUGCCCCAGCUGUAAAAUGGGAAGAUUUCACCAAACAUAACCUGGACACUGUGAUGAACAUAGUACUGCAGUCAUUCAGCUGUACAAGCAACUGCUUACAGAACAGCCUUCUGUAUGUACGCAGGUUGUGAUCAUUUAUUAGAGGCAAACUGCUGCCUGCUUUUCUUUGUCCCCCUUUUGUGGCAGGAGGCAUAAAAGCCCAGCUCCUCUUCCUCUUUCCUCGUGACAUUAUUAUGUAAAUCAUCGUAUCACCAAGAAUAAGCACUUUGCCUAUGCCUGAGAAGAGAUGUUAUCUGGGAUUCUCAACUUAC